AUUGACCUCUGAUUUCUCUUGUUCCUACACUUUCCAGCCUCACAGGUCAAUCACAAGACUGUUUUCUUUGCUGGCACUUGCAUGGUUUUCAGGACUGGUGGGAGGCAUACCUGUACCCUAAAAUCAAUAAUGACUUGCAAAGAUAUGUUUACUUUGACUUUAGUUCUAUUGGAAUUCUGUAACCUUGGGCAGUUCUCAAAUAUAUUUUUUCUGAAGGGCAAAGUCAAGAGGUUCCCCAUCCCCUCUCCUCCUCUUAGGAAUAGAGGUAGAGGACCAUCAGAAACAGGACAAAGCUGCUGCUCUGCAGGUUCUGAGAAUUUCAACUUGUGGGACUUUCAUGGUGAGAUUUCAGGUUCAUCCCAUCCAGGGCCCUCUGCCACGAGAGUGGAACACUGGCCAUGCUCUCUCUGGGCAGCCAUUUAUAGUUCUGCCAUUUUGAUUUUCUUUCACUACUACCCCUCUGUGGAUAAUGCACAUACCAAAGAUAUUACCUACUAUGUAAACCCAUCUAGGAAGUUCUCAUUUUUAUCCCUCAUAAUAUUCUGAAACCUGGAGCAUUAAGCAAUCUCUUGUAAUAAUAAUCACGAUUUCUGUAAGGCUCAUUUAGGGCUGCUGUGCAGGGCUUUAAGUAUUCACUGACGACUCGUGGCGCCUCUAUGAGGUAGCUGCUUUGUUAUCCCCUUUUCAAAGGUAAGGAAAUUGAGCCACAGAGAGACUUAGAUCAUGAGGCUAGUAAGUGGAAAAGCUGAGAAGCAAAUGCAGGUAUCCUGGUUCCAGAAUCAGACUGCUAGCCCCUGUUUUAGCCCCUAAAAUGGCCCCAAUGAUCCCUGCCUUCUGACUUUCAGGCUUCUAUGUGGAAGCUGAAGAUUUUGACUUGCCUCUAAUAAAUAGAACAACAGAAGCGACAAGAUAUUAUUUCUGAGGUUAGGAUAUAAAACAAUGGCAGGUUCCAUUUGGGGCACUCCUUCUUGCUCUCUUGGGUGACUCACGCAUGAAAGCCAGCCUCCAUGGCAUGCAAGAGCCCUGUAAAGAAGCUCACAGGAGUAAACUGAAUACAAAUUUCUAAAUCUGCCAACAGCUAUGGGAGUGAGCCUGGCAACAGAUUCCUCAGCCCCAGUCUGACCUUGAGAUGACUGCAAACUUGGGGAAGACUUUGAGCCACAAGUACCCCACUAAGAGGUCUGGACUCCUGGCCAGUAGAAACUUGUUUUCCACUGGCCCUCAUGGGUUGCCUACCAAGGCACCUGCCCAACUGACCAUCCCUUCACUUGACUUUGAUUCUGAGGGGAGCUAGAGUGGAGCACAGAGCUACCCUCAGCUGAGAACUGAGAAGCAAAGCCUCAGAACAGAACUUCGUGAAGUUGCUGUAAACUUUUGGGAAACAAGGUGAGUCAGGCAGCCCUGGUCCAUCACACACUGGUCUCAACGAGUGAUCUGCAGUCACCACGGUGAGGGAAAAGAGAAGUGGCCAAUCCUGAAGAAGUUUCCUUAAAUCCAGCCUGGGAGUGACUGACAGCGCUGGUGACCUCAUCCUAUUAACCUUCUGCUAACCCAGUCACCUGGCCCCAACCUCACCACAACAGAAGCCAGACCAGCUAUAAAGUAAGUCAGCAUCCAUAACUUGAAGGCUAUGAUUCUAAACGAUCUCCUGGAAAAGCGCCUCCUUCGAAAGUACCCAGAUG